GCGGGCCGGCUCGUAGCAGGAACACAGCCAUUACACGCACGCGAUCCACGGUGCUAGUUCCACCAUAGGCCUGUAAAGCCUGAUGAGGUUACAAAGCCCUGCGGACAGAGCCACGAGCUCUAAAACUUUAUGGAAAAAAAAAAUGGAACAGAAACUUUAAGCACAUGAAGUUUCACACAGGAAAUGAAUCUGAAACUACUGAUACAGCAGACCAAACAGAGAGUGGGGGAUUUCUGCAGAGAAUAUGCUAAAAGCAGAAGUGACAAAGCUGAUGAACAAGCCCACAGAGUGAACACAAAUUUGCAAAACAGGUCCGUGAACUGGUGACUUUCACAAUAAUAAAAUAAAUAAAUAAAUAAUAAAAUAAAAG